rnacentral:rRNA from 1 species
GAUGAACGCUAGCGGCAGGCUUAAUACAUGCAAGUCGUGGGGCAGCAUGAGUGUAGCAAUACAUUUGAUGGCGACCGGCAAACGGGUGCGGAACACGUACAGAACCCUCCUUCAAGCGGGGCAUAGCCCAGAGAAAUUUGGAUUAAUACCCCAUAAUAUAAUGAAGAGGCAUCUCUUUGUUAUUAAAGAUUUAUCACUUGAAGAUGGCUGUGCGGCUGAUUAGGUAGUUGGCGGGGUAACGGCCCACCAAGCCUGCGAUCAGUAACUGGUGUGAGAGCACGAGCAGGCACACGGUGACUGGGACACGGGCCCGACGCCGACGAGAGGCAGCAGUAAGGAAUAUUGGUCAAUGGACGCAAGUCUGAACCAGCCAUGCCGCGUGGAGGAUGAAGGUCCUCUGGAUUGUAAACUUCUUUUAUAUGGGACGAAAAAAGGCUUUUCUAAGUCGUCUGACGGUACCAUAUGAAUAAGCACCGGCUAACUCCGUGCCAGCCGCCGCCGUAAAAC